rnacentral:tRNA from 1 species
UGCGGGGUCGUUCAACGGUAGGACGGGGCGCUCUGAACGCUCUGAUGUUGGUUCGAGUCCAACUCCCGCAGC